rnacentral:rRNA from 1 species
AAAGGUAGCAUAAUCAUUAGUCUUUUAAUUAAGGACUGGUAUGAAAGGUUUGACGGAGAUUGGCUGUCUCAAACUUAAUUUGAUGAAAUUUAUUUUUAAGGAAAAGAGCUUAAAUAAUACAAAGGGACGAGAAGACCCUAUUAAAUUUUAUUGCUAAACAAAUAAAAUUUUAUUUUAAUUAAAGUUUUAUUUACUAAGUAGUUUUACUGGGGCGGUAGAUAAUUAACAUUAUUAAGUUUUAAUAUUUUAUUUGACGUUAUUGUGAUCCACUUUGUGUGAUAUUAAGAACAAGUUACUAUAGGGAUAACAGCGUAAUAUUUUUUGAGAGUUCUUAUUGACAAAAAUGUUUGCGACCUCGAUGUUGGAUUAAGAAAUCUUGUUGGUGCAGUAGCUGAUAAAGAAGGUCUGUUCGACCUUUA